rnacentral:rRNA from 1 species
CCUACGGGUGGCAGCAGUGAGGAAUAUUGAUCAAUGGACGAGAGUCUGAACCAGCCAAGUAGCGUGAAGGAUGACUGCCCUAUGGGUUGUAAACUUCUUUUAUAUGGGAAUAAAAUGUUCCACGUGUGGGAUUUUGUAUGUACCAUAUGAAUAAGGAUCGGCUAACUCCGUGCCAGCAGCCGCGGUAAUACGGAGGAUCCGAGCGUUAUCCGGAUUUAUUGGGUUUAAAGGGAGCGUAGGUGGAUUGUUAAGUCAGUUGUGAAAGUUUGCGGCUCAACCGUAAAAUUGCAGUUGAAACUGGCAGUCUUGAGUACAGUAGAGGUGGGCGGAAUUCGUGGUGUAGCGGUGAAAUGCUUAGAUAUCACGAAGAACUCCGAUUGCGAAGGCAGUUCACUGGACUGCAACUGACACUGAGGCUCGAAAGUGUGGGUAUCAAACAGGAUUAGAUACCCUUGUAGUC